GUCAGCUCCCUAUCCAGAGCCCAGGAGACUGUGUUAAGAACUGAUAGAAGGGGUCCUGUGAGUUGUUUAUGUAAUACUGAUCUAAUAAGGAAGUAAGUCAUGUAAUGAGCAGACAUGGAAAGACCAGAGAACUUUUAGGGCACCACUAUGCAGUUCAGGCUGGUCUUGAGCUCACUUUGUAACCCAGAUUGGUCUCAAACUAACAAUGAUCCUCCUGCCUCAGCCUCCCAAGUGCUGGGAUUACAGCAUCACCUCCAAAUAAGUACAGACAAUGGGUUUAAGUAAAAAUUACAAAAUCACCAGCAGAGUUUGAAGGGAUGAAGGAUCGCCUUGGUUGGAAUCCUAGAGAUACAGAGGUAA